CUUCAGGGCACAGGGGACUCUGACUUCUCAUUCAUGUGGAUGCUUUUAUCAAGCAAUGUUGGCAGACCUGAAGCUUUGCUACUCUGGACAAUUUCAGUUAUGUUCCUGGGACUAUCAACUAGAAAAGUCUGCGUUUGGAUGUGUUUUCUUCAACUCUGUAAAGUGGUAUGUACAUUGAUGACCCACAGAUUUUCAAGGCAAGAAAGAUAAUUCUGCAUUAUUUCUUUUUAAAGAACCUAAAAUCAAGGAUUGUAACCUACCUUGUGAACUUUGAGACCCGGAGGAAAUAUAAUACAGGAAUCUAAUGGGAUCGUGUUGGCACCUGAAAGCCUCAUUGUGCUGGACAACCCACGUGAAUAGGCCCAAUGUCCCUUCCCUAAAAGCUUGCAGAUGUUGAGGAGGGACAGCAGAUGGAAGGAACAAAGAGAUGGAGGGAUUGUGAGGUAACAGCAAGGCAAUGCUUAUUAGUCUGAGUAAGCUGCUUUCCAACAUGCCAGCUGUCCAACUGCAAUCACUAAUUGAUCUUGGUUCUUCAAUGUCAUUAAGAAAUCUAACUGUUUAACUUCACGGGAAAUUAAAAAAAAUCUUUGGAUUUCGUUCCUGUAGAAGACAUCCCAAUAUAUUUUAUGGAAUGUUGCUUGAUAAUGAAAUGGGUGGCAUAUAAAUUGAAUAAAUAAAAACUCUUUAAAAAAUUGAAU
ensembl:lncRNA